CCUAUUGACGCACGCCCUAGAUCAGAUCCCGCCGACGACUGCCCCUCCUCAUCGUCCCCCCGCCGCCCCUCUCCUUCGAUAUGAUCUCCUUGGCGCCCCGCCGUCGCCGGCGACUCCUCGGCUCCUCGCAGUCGCCGUCACAUCAGACGCCGGCCACUCCUCUGCGGCCUCACGCUGUCGUCCUCUCCUUCGCAAGGAACACCCGACCCUUCCUCCGCGGCCUUGUGACGCCGACCACUCCUUCGUGGCCUCACGCCGCCCUCCUCUCCCUCCUUCCUUCGUCCAAGCCCAGGACUUCCCCUCCCUGACCCGAUCUGACGGAGAGAGGGCCAAGCCUUGCCACUCCGAUGGUCACUUUGGCCAAAUCCGGUUGGGGGAGCCACCGUAGAGCCUCAACAUCGGCGCAGCAGCAGCAGUCCUUGCGACGGUGGGUGCCGGAGAUCGUCAAGCAACUCGCCGUCGGCGGCCACGACCACCUCAUUCCCUGCCGUGCGUCUCCGUCAACUACUGUGGCAUUGACGACAGCGAGUUAGGAGCCUACGAGGUAGACGCCCUGCUGACUAUGUCGUCAAGGCCUCCACAUGGCUCCUCUUGUGGCAGACUGCUGGUUGUUUGCCAUGUCCUUGAUCACCCUAAUUUAAUCCAAGUCAGGGUAGUCUCGUGCAUUAAGCCAUCUGGCUCUGCUCUGCAAUUUCUCGAGAGAACAUUGUGGAGAACCUAACUCAUGGAUAUUUGGUUCAGUUUUUGGGAUGAAUUGAUGACAAGGAGAGCACGUUGGAAAUAGUGGAAGUGAAAACGGGAGAGGAUGAUGGGAACGAUCAAGUACAUCACAAUCAUCGGCUUCAUGUGGCACUCCUACACCAACGCAAUUCAGGUUUGAUAAUUGAUGAGGGUGGGUGCCAUGGUCAUCUAUGCUGGGCUUCUGCAUGAUCACAUCUUCCACAUGUUCGGUGCUGGAGUGGCUGAUCUUGUCGAAGGGUUACGUUUUCCUCUUCUCAUGGAUUUUGACCAUUGUUUUAGAGGGAUUCGGAUAAUGGUUCUGGUAGUUAGUACAUUCAUAUUCUUUGGCAUCCUCAAGCUGUUGGCUGGAUCUAUUGCAAUUGUUGUGAUUUAAAUUAUGAUGGCCUGCAGCAUGCCUCCCUAUAUUUAAGGCAAAUGAUAAUGGAAGUACACCUUCAUGAACAAGCUAGCCGAGGUCUUGGAAUUCCAACCUAGGUAAACAAGUGAACUCAUUUAACGGUUUCCCCUUUUCUGGUGAUGCAGGUAUAGCUCAUUCAUUAAGGGCUACUCAGCUCUGUCUUUUUCUCUCUCUUUGGUGAUUGGAUUAUAUGCAACUCUGUGUUGAAGGAUCUGUUCAUGCUAAAUUUAACAAAUCUUGUCAUGUUUUCAUAAAUUAUCUAUUUGAUCACUCUACGUGGAAUGGUAAACAUUUGUAGCAUGAUCAGGGUUUGAUUAUUUUUAUCAGUGCACAUACCUUCAGAAAAUAAACCAAUGGGGCUAUCUUGUUCGUCUUUCUACUUAUGUAUGUAUACAUAUGGGAUGCUUUGUUAGUUCUGUUGUGCAAAUAAUCAUUCUUUGUGUUGAUGAGCUAUGAUAAUGGCUCCCCAAAUUACAAUACUUGCUAAAUGUACACUUUGUUGCGAUGAAAUCCUAUUUAUAAACAGUAUAUUUUCCUAAUGGAUUGUGAUUAAACUUUGUUGCUUUUACCCACUUUGGUGCUUCUUCAGUGUAUAUGUACUAAAUCGUAAAAUAAGAUGAUUGUAUAUUUUGCUUUAUAGUACACCGGUUCAUGAGAAGAAUGCUGAGAAGAUUCAGCUUGCUGUGCUAAAUGUCAUUCUGGCUUGACUCGAUAAUAUCGUGGUAACAUGGUGGAAUAUUUUAUUUUUUAUUGUAACAAACUGUAGUCAAAUUCAUCAGAUAUAUAUAUAUACUUCCAGGAUCGGAGGAACAAGUAGUUUUAGCCUUCUGUUUUCGAAUUCUUAGUUUAACAUCUCUAUACUUGUUGAAGCUGUAUCUUCAACUCUACAUGAGCAUAGUGAUAUGCAGUAUAAAACAUCUCCAUUUUUUCCUUCUUUGAUGAGCAUGGAAUAUCCAAAUUGACAUCUAGAGAUAGAUAAGUUGGUAGGGUAAUGUUCACUAGCUUUUUUUAGGAUCAAGAUUGAUGUGUUAAUUUUCUUAUCAAAGGAUGAUUAACGGAAUCGUGGUAUUGUGGCCAAAAUAUACUCUCUUCAGUUUGUUGGUAAUGAGCAAAAUGUAGUCCUACUGUUAAUGGGCUUUGGAUUUGUGCGUGAAAUACAUUGUUGCAUGCAUGUUUCCUAAGUGAAAAAUGUAAUGGUUCUGAAUAUAGCUGGAGAUGAAUUAUUUGCAGCAUCCAGGCAAUAACAGUGGCAUGGAUACAGUUAACAGUACUAGCAAUUGAUGAUAUUGUCAUAGCAAUUUUAAUUUGGAAAAAAUAUGUGAGAGAUUAGUCUUUUCUUUUCUUUCAUGCAAUGAAGAGAGUACAAAGUAUACUACAAUUUUUUGUAACCCACACAAUGAUUCAAGAAGCAGGGCCAAACAGGACCAAUGAAGACGCAUACAGUACUGUUCUUCAUGAUAUGAUGUUAUUUUUUCCCCACAAAUGAAUUUAAUAUUUAAUUCUUUGUGAGACAACUACUAAAAUGAAGUAGUUUAUGGGUUUGAAAAUUCCAUGUAUUGUGCAUAUUUUUAUGUGCAUACUUGACUCAGAUGCAAGCUGUUCGCAGUACGUGUAUUCUGAAAGAAAACAUGACGUAGCUGCUGAAUGCUCUCUGAAACAUAGCAUAUUUUUUAAAAUACUCUAUUUGCUUUGAAUGAGGUUGCCUUUUGCUUUAAACAAUUAACUGCAUUCUGAAAUACUUUUAAAUUUGGCUAAGAUUAAGAGAUCUAGCAAAUGAGUCCAAGUCUCAAAACCAGGUGCAUCUAGAGUAUUUCUCCUCCACGGCGGGUUGUCCAUCUCCAUAUAUAGUGGAGUGUUGCUCUUAUAAAACAUCUGGUCUAUUUGAAUGGCACAUUACUGUUCCGAGUCUCCAAGAACCAGGUACAUCUCUCUUGCCUUAGCCUCUUCUGAUUAUCCUUCCUGUUAUUAUGUAGGAAGCAGAUUACCAACCUUCCAAGCUCUAUAUUCAGCCUUCCUUUCUCAUUGCUCAUACAAGUUCAAUGUAUGAACAUUCUUGUUACACUUAGUCCUUCCAGUUUCUUGAGAUAACCAUGUCUCAAUUUUUUGAACAGCUACAGUACCUGUACAGUAAGAAUCGAACUGCAAAGGAGCUGUACCAUCUGUUGUUUCAUGACUCCCUUAUGCCCUUGCGAGCAGCGGCCACCAUUGGGCAGGGACAGAGCCAUUGAGCACCCUUGCUCGGUGGUCCACCACCCUUCUCGCCUCCCGUUCGACGCCUCUUCUCCACACCCCUUCGUUCGAUGUGCUUCGACUCAUGAUGUACCAGAGUGGAGUCAGUAUAGAUAUCAGAGGUGCACAUGGGGUCCUCUUUAGUUUUUUUCCUUAAUUGUUAACCAUCUCCAAUUUUAUGUCAACUCUACUUAUUCCAGUUUCAUAGUUGGAGGUAUUAGAUAAUACAUCAAUUUAUAUCUAUCGCCCUAAAGAAAAUGUACAUUGCUGAUACAAAUAAUCUUUAUUUUGUUUACAAACAUGUAAUGAAAUCUACACUACGAAUAAGAAGACUGAAGUAUAGGACGCGCUCAGGGGUGUGCGGCAGCCCAUGGCGGGCAAGGCGUGCUGCAGUGGGGUUAUGGCAGCAUUAUGGUCAUGAGAGAGCUAGCAUGCUCUUUGGUAUAAAUUAGUUACCCUCCUGUGGGGUUAUUUUUUAUUCUAAGUAUUAACAUGCCUUCAAAAUAAUUCUGUAAUAGGUAUAUAAUUACAGGUUGUUGUGUGAGCUGCACCUAAAUUGAGAACUGAAACUGCAAUGAAUUACUUGAAACUUGGUGCCCUUAUAUUUGCCCCAUUUGUUGAGGUUCAGUUUGACUAAAAUGGACAGACCAUGAGCUCCUUUAGGAACUUGUUGGGAAAUGUCGCUUGUGUGGAGAGGCUGGAAAUACGAAGACAAGUAUGUGUUUGAUUAUUUUGAAGCUAUUUAACAUAUUAGUGGUGUCAACGAGGGUAAGUCCAGGUUCCACAUGUCAAGCUAUAUUAGUUUUUUCGCAAAGAAAUUUCUCUUUAUACAACAAGACAAUACUUAUUUGUGAUUUUGCAUGCCGUCGUGGAAUUCUAGCGAACAUGUCAAUUUGUUCGUGAUUUCGGACGUACAGUAUUUGGGUCCCAUGCACAAGGAGACGUUGAUAAGUUACUUCGGAUAUACAUAUAGACCGAACUAAAUAUGUAUUUAGAGAUUAUAAAAGUGUGUGUUGUUUUGCAAUAGUUUUAACCCACUCAACUGUAUUAUAAAUGUGCAAAAAAAAAAAUCUGGCCCGGUGGCAAAGCAGAGUAUUUAGCUAGGUGAGCUAUAGACCAGGAGCUGGUGGGUGGUAGGGCAAGCACGCCGCUUCUCCUCUCUGUCUCCAGAGAGGCGCGUGCAUCGAAAAAUGAACAUAUCUGAGCCAUGCGCCUUGCUUCUACUGAUUUCUAUAGAGAUUGGCUCGCUUAGAUUUUAGACUAGGCGGUUGCUGUUGAGGUCGCCAAGGUGAUCCUACAGCACUGCCAUGGGGAUUGUUCAUGAUUCUAUCUGGACAAGCGGUGGUGGUGAUUGGCUGGGUGGUGGUGUUGCCUUGGGGAGAGACAAAGUGAAGGUAAAAGCAAGCAAGAUCCGAUGGUGCUGCUGUGGGGAUAGCCAAAGUCAAGACUUCGACUACGAACUCGUCGCAACGAACCUGGACGCUACGAGCCUGAUUCAUGGACCAAUGGAGGGUCUUGACGCUGUUAGGGUUGGGAUAGGAUGAAUGUGGAGGGUGACGUGCUUGGUUGAGUGCCCCUCGAAGAUUGUGUCCUCCCCGUGGACCUGUUUGUGGCCAUCGUAGAGGAGAUUGUGGCCCUUCCCCGAUGAGCAAGAACAAUGUAGGCGGCAGCAGGAGGUAGGGGUGGAUGCGGGGAUGUAUGUUGAUGGUUUCUCGAGGUUGCGAUGUGGAAAGUCAAGAGCACGAAGUCGAAAUCGGAUAGGAGUUUGAGUUCUUGUUGGCCGUGGCUGGCUCCCACUUUAGUGAUGUAUUUUUUCAGUUUGUUGAAGUUCAGUUUUUUUAACCUAGAGUGCCAUUCGCAACAUGAUUUAGGUGACCCAGAAGUUCCCUUUCAUCAUCAUUUAUAGAGCGUUCAGAGUUCCGAGCUCUGUCGACGUCGCCAGCCUUGUGAAAUGCCAACUGGUCGUCGCUUCUUUCGGUGGUAAUUCUCGAUUCUUUGCACCCUUACAUGCAGAUUCAGAGAUGAGUGUCAAGGAUAUGUCGAAUGAUGAAUAUAUUCAGAUACUAAGAAAGGUUCUAAAAUGUGUUUUGGCAGAGUGCUAACACGCUACAUUGGAGAGAAAGCGUUGAGAGAAUGCUUUGUUGGGAUGAUAAACAUGAAUAAUCAAUCCUCAUUCCAAGGUUAGAUUUGUACUUCCUGCCCAGUUCUUUUACACAAAGGACCAAGCCUCUUACUUUAUCCAUUUCUUAAUUUUGUUCCUUCACAGAAAAGCAUUUUCUCAUUUCAAUCUUUCUCCAUUUGGUAUGAGUAUGACACACGCUCUGAAUUUUUGACUAUUCUUGGUUGAUUAAUGGUUGGUGUAUUGCCUUCCACUUUGGAUUAUUCUAAAUCUUCUUGCUUAGGCUAUGUGUACCCUUCUGUCAUGUGCCACCAUCGAUCUGAGCAAAAAUCAGUGUAGAUGAACCGAGCUAUUUUAUUAUAAGCUGUGUACAUAACUUCCUGGAAAGAUAACCAUGUAGUUAUUGUUUUAUGUCGUAUAUAUUCAGAUAGGUGAAUUAUCACAAGUUGGUCCCGGUAUGUUAAUAGGAUUGUGCCAACCUAGAGUCUUUUCAGAUCGUGCCAACUCUGUUUGGGGUUUCCUUCUACCUAAUCAAGGCUUAGUCCAGUUUGUCUUGUCCUUAUCUCCUUUUCUGUCAUAAAUUCUUCAUCUAUUCAAGAAGCUCAUUUUUGUUAGUUGGAACAACUGAAAAAAUCAUACUCCCCUUCCUAAAUAUAAGUCUAAUUGUUUUUUCAAAAGUCAAACGAGUGCAUGUUUGACCAAGUUUUUAGAAAAUAUAUCGAUAUCCACUAUACCAAAUUUAUAUCAUUCGAUCCGUCAUGAAAAGUAGUUUUAUAUUUUAUCUACUAGGUUUUUCAGAUGUUGAUAUUUUAUUCUAUAAUCUUGGUCAAACAUUCAAAUGGUUGACUUGGAGGAUAUCAAUACACCUUAUUUUCUGGAAUGGAGGGAGUAUCAUUCUUGUUGUGACGGACAAACAGAAAGAAAGGUCCGCAAAGAGUGCACUCACAAAAGCCAUGUACUGUAGACCAUGAAUGAUUACCUUGAAAGCUUUCUCAUCGAGGCCAUAGUUCCAAACUAGACCAUCCUUUAAGAAACAUUCAAUCAGAAUUGGAGGAAAUGCCAUCCAUUGGGGUUCUGAAGUUCUGAACUUUGAUCUCUCUAUUUGAAUCGUUGUUAUUAUUUUGUCUGUUGGCCAUGAGCAAAGAAUCUGGAGAGUGCCUAAUGUUCCUCAACUUUUCUUAUAUUCCAAAUUCACUAUUAGUGUUGAUCAUCUUCAAAGAACAGAAAACGUAUGACAGGAUUAAGGUUGUAAUUUGUGCUCUCUUUUUUCCAAAAUUCACUGCUUGAUUAAUUUUGUUGUAGAAGCUUGAGAGAAAAAGAUAGUAAAUACAUAGUAACUUUACAUUGAUGAAUUUUCCCCAAUGGACGUAACCAGCUCUGCUUUCGCGGUCUCAAAAGGAGAAGCCCCGAACGCUUGCAGUUGCUUUUUUCUCUUUAUUCCUUCUAAGCGAGCCUCUAAAGACUCUACUCCUACUUUAAACUUAGAGUCCGAUUCUUCCAAUUCUUCCAAAGACAAAGUAGAACUUCGUUUUGAGGAGUUUGCCCCCCGUUCGCCGCCGUCCAACCGGCGGCUACUCUGGGAUGGAUCGAGGUUUAGGCCAACAGAGGGGGCUUGCUCCCUUUCUUCUGGAGCUAAGGAAGGACUAGCAACACACCUGCUUUUAACUAUAUAUAAAUAGGACGUGGAUUUUUGGGACAUGCGGCUACGCGCUGCCGUUAUCACGGUCGUCCGGCGACGCGUUGUGAUUACUACUCUUAAUAGCACUUUCGCAAUACGCGCGCGCCUGGAGUCGCGCAUGGCACGAAUACGCGCGUUAUACGCCCCGGCCGCACAGUCACAUUAAAUGAAUCUGACGAGAAAAAACAAAAACGCCCGGUCCCACACGGGGGGAUGGAUUAACUCCCUCGUCCUUCGGUGGAUGCGCAUAGUUGAAUCAUCAUCGCCCCCGCAACAGCUGCCCCCAGCGCGUGCCUGAAUUUGCUCCCCGCGACGAACAGAGGAAGGAGCGGCGAUGGGUUCCUCGCAGACGGAGAUAAGGUUAGCAUGCCGGACCCCCGCGCCCUCCCCCUCAUCCAUGUUCUUGGUUCUCUGUUAAACUAGCGCGCACGCAUGUCUUUGGUCUCGACGACGCUCGUGGGGGCUGGUUGUGGAUCUGAGCCGUUGAGCGAUACCCUGCGCUUGGAUUUCCAGCCAGAUCCAGAUUUUCUUAGCAGACACACGGGGAUGCUUGAUUCUCUACGGGAGGUGACAUAGGACCACCCAGUCGGGGCGUUUGCAGAUUUGUUAGAUUUAGUUGAUGUUCGUCCACCGGAGGAGCAGAUUCAGAGGGAUGAAAACAAGUAUGUUGCCCUUGAUGACAAGGUGGGAUGGGUUAGUAGGAACAGAAGAGAUGGCAUGCCUGACGAGCGGACAACAAGCGCCGGAAGAGUGACCAUGUGUGCAUUUGUCUGCAUUUUGCCUCGUUCCCAUGCAUGCAAAUCAUAGAGAACGCGGGCUGAUGCUCACCGGCGACGGACAACAAAGGAGUCAACGGGCAAAGAGAUUUCUCCAACUUGGUGCUGGCGAUUUGAGAUUGACUGUGGUGUUGCUUCCACAGGUGGUGUGGCCGGUCAAUUUAUAAGCGGUCGUCUACUGCGUAGCUGGCCUCUAGAAGAGUCGUUGCGUUGAUGGAGCAUUAAAUGAUAGACGGGUGGCUUUAUGAUUUGCAGGGCAGAUGGAGGAAUUGAUUUCAUUGGCAGUGA